UUACGGCCACAUCAUGUUGAAACACCGGUUUCGGUACGAUCACCGAAGUUAAGCAACGUCGAGUCUGGUCAGUACAUAUAUGAGUAACCGCAUAAGAAUUCCAGGUGUUGGA